rnacentral:rRNA from 1 species
GACGAACGCUGGCGGCGUGCCUAAUGCAUGCAAGUCGAACGAACUCGACCUUCGGGUCAUAUGAGUGAGUGGCGAACGGGUGAGUAACACGUGAGAAACCUGCCCCGAAGUUCGGAAUAACUCAGGGAAACUUGAGCUAAUACCGGAUGUCCCCUACGAAUCGAGUGGUCUGUAGAGGAAAGAUUUAUCGCUUCGGGAGGGUCUCGCGGCCUAUCAGCUAGUUGGUGAGGUAACGGCUCACCAAGGCAUUGACGGGUAGCUAGUCUGAGAGGACGAAUAGCCACACUGGGACUGAGACACGGCCCAGACUCCUACGGGAGGCAGCAGCAGGGAAUCUUGCACAAUGGACGAAAGUCUGAUGCAGCGACGCCGCGUGGGGGAUGAAGGCCCUAGGGUCGUAAACCCCUUUCAGUAGGGACGAAAAUGACGGUACCUACAGAAGAAGGUCCGGCCAACUACG